GCUGCAGCUACGCUCUUGAACAUGAGAUGUCACCAACACGUAUGGCAGAGUAGAGAGACGGAAACCCCAUCACUGUGCUGCUGAACAGUCUCCUUCCAGAUUCCCUGCCGUGUUAAACAACACAUGCCUCAGGACUGAAGGGUCUCUGUGGCAGAGUUCUGUUCCCCACAGCAGAAAUCAGCUAACUGCCAGCGUGCCACAGACCCAAGUAAAAGUCCCAGCUUUCUUCGUGCAUGAGCUUCGGCAUGUUACCUAAAUUCACAAGCCUCAGUCACCUUUUGUAUAUAAAAUGGGGUCAGUAAUUUUACCCAUUAAAAUGACUUGGAUAGGAGGCCUCAACAAACGCACAUAGACUAGUGUCUGAUAUGACAUACUCAGCAAAUGAAAGUUAAAAUGAUUUUCACAAUCCGCCCCAAUUCACACCCACGGGGAGUAAGCCCUGACUAUACCUCCUGUCUGCUACAGACACUCCUCGCCGGGGAGGAUUUGGAUAAAAACCUCACCAAUGUGUGAUACUCAAUUCGGCUACUCCGGGCAGCUAGCUGGCUGUUCUCUUGCUUCUCCCUUCUCUAGGUUUCUGUCCCUGAAGCCGAGGGCCUGGAAAGGGGCUGGACACCCCAUUACACACACUCACACCUCAAAGGAACUAUGAAGGGGGACCCAGUGUUCAUGUGACCCAGGCUGCAGACUCAUGACGUAGGCUGACAAAAGAGUGAUUACUCGGAGAUCCUGGGCUUGGAGGUGGAUGUAGUUUGGGGUUAUUCAUCUUUAGAGAGAGGACGAACGCAUUUUCACUGUGGAAUAGUUACAGCCACCAGAGCUGCAUGGAGGAUAGGCGGGUCCCCCAAGCCUCAGCAUGAAGCAACUUUCCAGAGCACCAGAUCCUUCUCCCUUCUCAGUGGCCAGCGUAUCUCUGGCAUUCAGGAUUCCAUUCCGGCUGGCUGCCAAACAGCCAGGAGAGCUACAAAACAGAAGAAGAGGGUAAGAACGGGAUUCCAGAAGAUUUUACCCUGGGGUCCAAUCUCUUGGGUUAAAUUAUAAUAUGUUACUAAAAACUGUUAAUUUCUC
rnacentral:lncRNA from 1 species